GGAUUUUCUUUCUCUUCAUAAAGAAAAAUAUUUUCAUUACGUACGUAUAUUUGAUCUGUCUAAAACAACAUCUAAGGUAAACGUCAUUUUGUUUCUUUACAGCUCUUGGGAAUGUUCUGUAAUAUUGCUUCAGAAUAAUUUGAUUGCCCGGAAUGAAAAUAAACAAAACGACAAGCAUUGACCACAUUCAGCAUCAAGACUACGGCACGAUCUAUUCAAAAACUGCUUUAAAAAAGGACACGGAAACUAUUCCAAUAGAGACAAACGUUUGCGAUGAUCAUUGUCAAGCACUUUACAUACUAAAGAAUUGGCAUAAUUUCGAAAAAAUACAAAAAGAAGCAAAAAUCAAGACUCAUUUAAUUAAGGUUCUGAAAACUAAGAUAAUUAAGAUGCUCAAAUCUUUGAACGUGGAAAAAAUACAAAAUGCUCCGCGGUUUAAUAUUACAGAGAGCGACAUACAAUUAUACAGACCAUCCAGCGUAAAAAUAAUGAAAAAACACCUGAUAAAAUAAUUUGUUAAUAAUAAAAAUAAAAUCGCUCGGGUCAAUAUUUCGCUUAAAACAACUUCUGACAUAGUAUUCAGGAAUAGGUUCCGAAAAAAAAAAACGAAUUUAAAAUUACACGUAAUUUAUUAGUAAAACUCCGCCACGCUUCCUUGUAAUCAUCGCUAAGCAAUUUAUAUGCUCAAUAAACUAAACACACACAGAAUCCGCUUUAGUUUUGUCAUACAUUGUUGCUGGUAUGCCAGGAACCUGACCUGAAAGUUCUAUAAAACUGCUUAAACCCCAACUGGAUCAAAUAAACGACAGGGGAACUCAUAGAAAACCAUCAAACGAAACUAUAAAUCUUCAUUUACGAGCUAUCGAUGAAAAAUUAAAUAAUUUAAUUAAAAAUUCUUUUACGAUACAA